rnacentral:rRNA from 1 species
ACGAACGCUGGCGGCGUGCUUAACACAUGCAAGUCGAACGGUGAAGCGCCUUCCUUUUUGGUGGGUGUGGAUGAGUGGCGAACGGGUGAGUAACACGUGAGUAACCUGCCCCCUUCUUCUGGAUAACCGCAUGAAAGUGUGGCUAAUACGGGAUAUUCUGGGUCUGUCGCAUGAUGGGUCUGGGAAAGAUAUUGUUUCGGUGGGGGAUGGGCUCGCGGCCUAUCAGCUUGUUGGUGGGGUGAUGGCCUACCAAGGCGGUGACGGGUAGCCGGCCUGAGAGGGUGGACGGUCACACUGGGACUGAGACACGGCCCAGACUCCUACGGGAGGCGGCAGUGGGGAAUAUUGCACAAUGGGCGCAAGCCUGAUGCAGCGACGCCGCGUGAGGGAUGGAGGCCUUCGGGUUGUGAACCUCUUUCGCCAGUGAAGCAGGCCUGCCUCGUUUGUGGGUGGGUUGACGGUAGCUGGAUAAGAAGCGCCGGCUAACUACGUG